rnacentral:rRNA from 1 species
AACGAACGCUGGCGGCAGGCCUAACACAUGCAAGUCGAGCGAGAUCUUCGGGUCUAGCGGCGGACGGGUGAGUAACGCGUGGGAAUAUGCCUCUUGGUACGGAAUAGCCUCGGGAAACUGGGAGUAAUACCGUAUGUGCUCUUUGGGGGAAAGAUUUAUCGCCAAGAGAUUAGCCCGCGUUGGAUUAGGUAGUUGGUGGGGUAAUGGCCUACCAAGCCGACGAUCCUUAGCUGGUUAGAGAGGAUGAUCAGCCACACUGGGACUGAGACACGGCCCAGACUCCUACGGGAGGGAGCAGUGGGGAAUCUUAGAAAAUGGGGGCAACCCUGAAGUAGCCAUGCCGCGUGAGUGAUGAAGGCCUUAGGGUUGUAAAGCUCUUUCAGCUGGGAAGGUAAUGACGGUACCAGCAGAAGAAGCCCCGGCUAACUACGUG